rnacentral:misc_RNA from 1 species
UUUUCUAUCUUUAAUGCUUUUUGUAUUGAAAUUAAAACUCAGUUUAAUACUUCUGUAUGUGUGCUAAGAAGUGAUAAUGCUAAAGAAUAUUUUUCUGAGCACUUUCAGAACUAUAUGACUCAGAAUGGUAUUCUUCACCAGUCUUCUUGUGUUGAUACGCCAUCUCAAAAUGGCGUUGCUGAAAAAAAAAAUCGACAUUUUCUUGAGGUAGCUAGAGCACUUCUUUUCCAAAUAAAGGUACCUAAAUAUUUUUAGGCUGAUGCAGUUUCUACAGCAUGCUUUUUGAUUAAUCACAUGCCAUCUUUUGUUCUUGAUGGGGACAUUCGUUACACUAUUUUGUUUUCAUCUAAAUCAUUGUUUUCUGUUGAACCUCGGAUUUUUGGCUGCACUUGUUCUGUGCGAGAUGUUCGUUCACAAAUUUCUAAAUUGGAUCCAAAGUCUC